rnacentral:rRNA from 1 species
AGUCGAACGGGUGCAGCAUCGGACUUCGGUCUGGUGGCGAGUGGCGAACGGGUGAGUAAUGUAUCGGAACGCCUAGUAGCGGGGAUAACUACGCGAAAGGUAGCUAAUACCGCAUACGCGCCCUUCGGGGAAAGCGGGACCCCGGGCCUCGCACUAUUAGAGCGGCCGGAUAAUGGAUUAGCUAGUUGGUGGGGUAACGGCUCACCAAGGGGCGACGAUCCGUAGCUGGCCUUGAGAGGGACGACCAGCCAAGCACCGGGACUGGAGAUGACGGCGGCCCAGACCCUACGGAGGCAGCAGGGGAAUUUGACAAUGGGGAAACCCUGAUCCAGCCAUCCCGCGUGUGCGAUGAAGGCCUUCGGGUUGUAAAGCACUUUGGCAGGAAAGAAACGGCACGGGAUAAUACCUCGUGCACCGAUUAUACCUGCAGGAAUAAGCACCGGCUAAUCCACAAAGCAAAGCAGCCGCGGUAAUACGUAGGGUGCAAGCGUUAAUCGGAAUUACUGGGCGUAAAGCGUGCGCAGGCGGUUCGGAAAGAAAGAUGUGAAAUCCCAGAGCUUAACUUUGGAACUGCAUUUUUGGACCACUGAGCAGAGUGGUGUUUGUGGAGUAAAAGAAUUCAGUAUAAAUGAAACGCAGAUAUGUGGAGGUAUCUACUCCGGAUGGCGAAGGCAGCUCUGGGAUAACACUGACGCUCAAGCGCACGAAAGCGUGGGGAGCAAACAGGAUUAGAUACUCCUGGUAGUCCACGCUCUAAACGAUGUCAACUAGCUGUUGGGGCCUUCGGGCCUUUGGUAGCGCAGCUAACGCGUGAAGUUGACCGCCUGGGGAGUACGGUCGCAAAGAUUAAAACCUCAAAGGAAUUGACGGGGACCCGCACAAGCGGUGGAUGAUGUGGAUUAAUCGAUGCAACGCGAAAAACUCCACUUACCCUUGACAUGUCUGGAAUCCCGAAGAGAUUUGGGAGUGCUCGCAAGAGAACCGGAACACAGGUGCUGCAUGCACUGUCGUCAGCCUCGUGUCGUGAGAUGUUGGGUUAAGUCCCGCAACGAGCGCAACCCUGUCAUUAGUUGCUACGAAAGGGCACUUAAUGAGACUGCCGGUGACAAACCGAGGAAGGUGGGGAUGACGUCAGUCCUCAUGGCCCUUUACAGUAGGGCUUCACACGUCAUACAAUGGUCGGGACAGAGGGUCGCCAACCCGCGAGGGGGAGCCAAUCCCAGAAACCCGAUCGUAGUCCGAUCGCAGUCUGCAACUCGACUGCGGAAGUCGGAAUCGCUAGUAAUCGCGAUCAGCAUGUCGCGUGAAUACGUUCCUGGUCUUGUACACACCGCCUGUCACACCAUGUGGGGAGUGCGGGUUUUUACCAGAAGUAGUUAGCCUAACCGUAAGGAGGGGGCGAUUACCACGGUAGGAUUCAUGACUGGGUGAAGUCGUAAUAAGGCAA